GAUGAACGCUGGCGGCGUGCCUAAUACAUGCGAGUCGAGCGAGCGGACGAGAAGCUUGCUUCUCUGAUGUUAGCGGCGGACGGGUGAGUAACACGUGGAUAACCUACCUAUAAGACUGGGAUAACUUCGGGAAACCGUAGCUAAUACCGGAUAAUAUUUUGAACCGCAUGGUUCAAAAGUGAAAGACGGUCUUGCUGUCACUUAUAGAUGGAUCCGCGCUGCAUUAGCUAGUUGGUAAGGUAACGGCUUACCAAGGCAACGAUGCAUAGCCGACCUGAGAGGGUGAUCGGCCACACUGGAACUGAGACACGGUCCAGACUCCUACGGGAGGCAGCAGUAGGGAAUCUUCCGCAAUGGGCGAAAGCCUGACGGAGCAACGCCGCGUGAGUGAUGAAGGUCUUCGGAUCGUAAAACUCUGUUAUUAGGGAAGAACAUAUGUGUAAGUAACUGUGCACAUCUUGACGGUACCUAAUCAGAAAGCCACGGCUAACUACGUG
rnacentral:rRNA from 1 species